rnacentral:rRNA from 1 species
UACGUAGGAGGCGAGCGUUGUCCGGAGUUACUGGGCGUAAAGGGUGCGCAGGCGGCGUCACGCGUGGCUAGAUGAAAUCUCCUGGCUUACCUGGGAGGGUGGUAGCCAGACGGUGGCGCUUGAGGGUCGGAGAGGGGCGUGGAAUUCCGGGUGGAGCGGUGAAAUGCGUAGAGAUCCGGAGGAACACCGACGGCGUAGGCAGCGCCCUGGACGACACCUGACGCUGAGACGCGAAAGCGUGGGGAGCGAACAGG